rnacentral:rRNA from 1 species
UACAGAGGGGGCAAGCGUUGUUCGGAAUUACUGGGCGUAAAGGGCGCGUAGGCGGCCUUCUAAGUCGAACGUGAAAUCCCCGGGCUCAACCCGGGAACUGCGUCCGAUACUGGAAGGCUUGAAUCCGGGAGAGGGAUGUGGAAUUCCAGGUGUAGCGGUGAAAUGCGUAGAUAUCAGGAGGAACACCAAUGGCGAAGGCAGCUCACUGGGACGGUAUUGACGCUGAGACGCGAAAGCGUGGGGAGCAAACAGG